rnacentral:rRNA from 1 species
CACCGCCCGUCACACCAUGGGAGUCAGUUGCUCCAGAAGUGGCUGCGCUAACCGCAAGGAAGCAGGCCCCUAAGGAGUGGCUGGUAACUGGGGUG